AGUCGAGCGAACAGAUGAGGAGCUUGCUCCUCUGACGUUAGCGGCGGACGGGUGAGUAACACGUGGAUAACCUACCUAUAAGACUGGGAUAACUUCGGGAAACCGGAGCUAAUACCGGAUAAUAUAUUGAACCGCAUGGUUCAAUAGUGAAAGACGGUUUUGCUGUCACUUAUAGAUGGAUCCGCGCCGCAUUAGCUAGUUGGUAAGGUAACGGCUUACCAAGGCAACGAUGCGUAGCCGACCUGAGAGGGUGAUCGGCCACACUGGAACUGAGACACGGUCCAGACUCCUACGGGAGGCAGCAGUAGGGAAUCUUCCGCAAUGGGCGAAAGCCUGACGGAGCAACGCCGCGUGAGUGAUGAAGGUCUUCGGAUCGUAAAACUCUGUUAUUAGGGAAGAACAAAUGUGUAAGUAACUAUGCACGUCUUGACGGUACCUAAUCAGAAAGCCACGGCUAACUACGUGCCAGCAGCCGCGGUAAUACGUAGGUGGCAAGCGUUAUCCGGAAUUAUUGGGCGUAAAGCGCGCGUAGGCGGUUUUUUAAGUCUGAUGUGAAAGCCCACGGCUCAACCGUGGAGGGUCAUUGGAAACUGGAAAACUUGAGUGCAGAAGAGGAAAGUGGAAUUCCAUGUGUAGCGGUGAAAUGCGCAGAGAUAUGGAGGAACACCAGUGGCGAAGGCGACUUUCUGGUCUGUAACUGACGCUGAUGUGCGAAAGCGUGGGGAUCAAACAGGAUUAG
rnacentral:rRNA from 1 species